UACAGAGGGUGCAAGCGUUGUUCGGAAUUAUUGGGCGUAAAGCGCGUGUAGGCGGCAUUGCAAGUCGGGUGUGAAAGCCCUCAGCUCAACUGAGGAAGUGCGCCCGAAACUGCAGUGCUUGAGUACCGGAGAGGGUGGCGGAAUUCCCCAAGUAGAGGUGAAAUUCGUAGAUAUGGGGAGGAACACCGGUGGCGAAAGCGGCCACCUGGACGGAUACUGACGCUGAGACGCGAAAGCGUGGGUAGCAAACAGG
rnacentral:rRNA from 1 species